AUCAAUAAGCGGAGGAAAAGAAACCAACAGGGAUUGCCUCAGUAACGGCGAGUGAAGCGGCAAUAGCUCAAAUUUGAAAUCUGGCCCCGUGGCCCGAGUUGUAAUUUGUAGAGAGUGUUUCGGGUGAGACCACGGUUUAAGUCCAUUGGAACAUGGCGUCAUAGAGGGUGAGAAUCCCGUAUGUGACUGUGGCUCGAACCCAUGUGAAGCCUCUUCGACGAGUCGAGUUGUUUGGGAAUGCAGCUCAAAAUGGGUGGUAAAUUUCAUCUAAAGCUAAAUACUGGCUGGAGACCGAUAGCGCACAAGUAGAGUGAUCGAAAGAUGAAAAGCACUUUGGAAAGAGAGUCAAACAGUACGUGAAAUUGUUGAAAGGGAAGCGCUUGCAACCAGACCUGUGCGUAGGUGAUCAGCCGCUGUUCUCAGUGGUGCACUCGCUCUGCGAUCAGGCCAGCAUCGGUUUCGGCGGUCGGAUAAAGGCCUUGGGAAUGUAGCUUCCCUUCGGGGGAGUCUUAUAGCCCUCGGUGCAAUGCGGCCAGCCGGGACCGAGGACCGCGCUUCGGCUAGGAUGCUGGCGUAAUGGUUGUAAGCGACCCGUCUUGAAACACGGACCAAGGAGUCUAACAUCUAUGCGAGUGUUUGGGUGUCAAACCCAUGCGCGGAAUGAAAGUGAACGGAGGUGAGAACCCUUAAGGGCGCAUCAUCGACCGAUCCAGAUGUCUUCGGAUGGAUUUGAGUAUGAGCAUAAAUGUUGGGACCCGAAAGAUGGUGAACUAUGCCUGAAUAGGGUGAAGCCAGAGGAAACUCUGGUGGAGGCUCGCAGCGGUUCUGACGUGCAAAUCGAUCGUCAAAUUUGGGUAUAGGGGCG
rnacentral:rRNA from 1 species